rnacentral:rRNA from 1 species
GAUGAACGCUGGCGGCGUGCCUAAUACAUGCAAGUCGAGCGAACAGACGAGGAGCUUUCUCCUCUUACGUUAGCGGCGGACGGGUGAGUAACACGUGGAUAACCUACCUAUAAGACUGGGGUAACUUCGGGAAACCGGAGCUAAUAACGGAUAAUAUAUUGAACCGCAUGGAUCAAUAGUGAAAGACGGUUUUUCUGUCACUUAUCGAUGGAUCCGCGCGGCAUUAGGUAGUGGGUGGGGUAACGGCUUACCAAGGCGACGAUGCGUAGCCGACCUGAGAGGAUGACCGGCCACACUGGAACUGAGACACGGUCCAGACUCCUACGGGAGGCAGCAGUGGGGAAUAUUGCACAAUGGGCGCAAGCCUGAUGCAGCCAUGCCGCGUGUAUGAAGAAGGCCUUCGGGUUGUAAAGUACUUUCAGCGGGGAGGAAGGGAGUAAAGUUAAUACCUUCGCUUAUUGACGUUACCCGCAGAAGAAGCACCGGCUAACUCCGUG